rnacentral:rRNA from 1 species
UACGGAGGGGGCUAGCGUUGUUCGGAAUUAUUGGGCGUAAAGCGCGCGCAGGCGGUUCUUUAAGUCUGAUGUGAAAGCCCACGGCUCAACCGUGGAGGGUCAUUGGAAACUGGAGAACUUGAGUACAGAAGAGGAAAGCGGAAUUCCACGUGUAGCGGUGAAAUGCGUAGAGAUGUGGAGGAACACCAGUGGCGAAGGCGGCUUUCUGGUCUGUAACUGACGCUGAGGCGCGAAAGCGUGGGGAGCAAACAGG